GGCAGAAAAUUGGGAACUCUUUUGUGACGUUAACAAAUCAUAAUGGCAUCUCCGCAUCACAUGCUCCUGGGAAAGUUUUUCUACCAUCAUCCUUAUAUAAAUCCAAUUCAAGAUGCCUCAAUCAAUCAUGUUUUGCCUGCCAGUGCUCUUCCUAGACGUGGGCGUAAGUGUCAAGAGGAUAGCACACAAUCCAGUGUUUUCAAGGACAACAAACUUAUCUUAACAUCUUCCAAGAUAGUUAAUUUGUCCAGUGAUGGGGGAGCUGAACCCCGGAAGGCUGAGAAACAAGGCACCAGUACAGGAGGACGUAGGAGAAAACGAGAUCUCUCUCCAAGUGAUUCUGUUAAUGAUUACCAGAAUGGUGUAUCCAAAAAAUCUGGGAUUACUUUGGAAAAAGAAAUACUUUCAUCUUGUGAUUCUGUAGCUACAAUCUGUGGAUCAAAUGUCUCAGUCCAGAAUUUGAAAAAAAAUAACAUUCGAUUGAUGGAAAAUGUUAAUGUGAAAAGAAACAUUAACGUGGAACAUUCCAAUCACCCCAGAACGAAGCUAAGGGGCCCUUGCAGCUGGAAAGAAAUUAGUGAGAAGGAUGAGGCAUUGAUUGGGCAAAGGAUCAAAUUUUUGUCUCCAGUAGAUAAAUGUUUUUAUCCAGGUACAGUGGAUGGUUAUAACACUCAAAACAAUACGUACAAGAUCACAUGUGAUAGUAGCUGCGACGUUCAAUUAGUAUGCUUGGAAAACCACUCCAAGUGGCCUAAUGGUUCUUGCCUAGUUGGGUUUGCUCCCCAGCCUAGGUUCGAACCCCGAAGCUGUCAAAGUGGCCAGGCACUGUGCUGCAAUGCACAGUUGGAGCAUUUCACAUGCGCCAGAGGGAUUAGUCCUCGGGCUUCCUUGGAAGCCUUUGGGAUACCCUUGACUUAGUAAAAAAAUAAGAUAAAAAAAAAUAAAAAUUAGUAUGCUUGGAAAGUGAGAGCUGGGAAACUAUAAGUGAUGUUUCACUGGAGGAAAGGAAACGAAAGGUGGGGAAAAAAGCCUCUGUGGACACAUCGGCAUCAGAAGUUACCAAUGCAAAUGAGGAUGCUGUAAGGCUUGCAUUGUAUUUUCGUUGUUAUCAUUACAUUUUGCUCUUAUACAUUGACAUAUCAAGUCGAAUAAUUUCUUUGCAGUACCGUUGUUUCUUUGCAGCCCAAGAAAAUUUCAUUCCUUGUAUGUUUGUGUUUAUUGACAUAUAUCCCUGGUUAUGUGUUUCGCUAUUUUUGUUUGAUUACUUUGUUCAGGUGGCUAGAAGAACUUGAAGACAAAAGAAACUAAUUUAGCUAUGAUUAUAUUUUAUUAUGAGCUAUAUACUGCAUCCUGCACUUGAGUGCUUGAAAACAGCAACAUCCCUAACUUAAAAAUCAGUCUAGUUGAGAGGUCGGGGGCAGAUCAUGCCAAGGAAUCUCUGGUGCUUUCAGUCCGGCAGAAAGUUCCCGCAGGUCAUCCCAGAGUUUGCACCCCUUGCCGUUGUAAGUAAUCACUCUAGAUGUCAGUGUUGUAUAUAUUCUUCCUUAACAAGCAAGCAACAUCGGAACAGUUUGAAUGCGUAAAUACACAUCUACGAGUCAUCUUGCUAAUGAAACGCUGUAGUAGUUAGAAACGGGUAUGUGUUCUUCUAAUGCUAGUUGAGAGGCAAGAACAGAUUCUCACACAUAUUUGUACUUUUCAGAAGUAGAAUGAUAAUUUAAGACAA